rnacentral:rRNA from 1 species
UACGGAGGAUCCGAGCGUUAUCCGGAUUUAUUGGGUUUAAAGGGUGCGUAGGCGGACUAGUAAGUCAGUGGUGAAAUCCUGCAGCUUAACUGUAGAAUUGCCGUUGAUACUGUUAGUCUUGAGUACAUUUGAGGUAGGCGGAAUGUGGUGUGUAGCGGUGAAAUGCAUAGAUAUAACACAGAACACCGAUUGCGUAGACAGCUUACUGAGCCGACACUGACGCUGAGGCACGAAAGCGUGGGGAUCGAACAGGAUUAGAUACCCUGGUAGUCCACGCCGUAAACGAUGAUUACUCGCUGUUGGCGAUACACUGUCAGCGGCUAAGCAAAAGCAAUAAGUAAUCCACCUGGGGAGUACGGCCGCAAGGUUGAA